rnacentral:rRNA from 1 species
CUACCCUGUACACACGGAUAACAUACCGAAAGGUAUGCUAAUACGGGAUAAUAUAUUUGAGAGGCAUCUCUUAAAUAUCAAAGGUGAGCCAGUACAGGAUGGACCCGCGUCUGAUUAGCUAGUUGGUAAGGUAACGGCUUACCAAGGCGACGAUCAGUAGCCGACCUGAGAGGGUGAUCGGCCACAUUGGAACUGAGACACGGUCCAAACUCCUACGGGAGGCAGCAGUGGGGAAUAUUGCACAAUGGGCGAAAGCCUGAUGCAGCAACGCCGCGUGAGUGAUGAAGGCCUUCGGGUCGUAAAACUCUGUCCUCAAGGAAGAUAAUGACGGUACUUGAGGAGGAAGCCCCGGCUAACUACGUGCCAGCAGCCGCGGUAAUACGUAGGGGGCUAGCGUUAUCCGGAUUUACUGGGCGUAAAGGGUGCGUAGGCGGUCUUUCAAGUCAGGAGUGAAAGGCUACGGCUCAACCGUAGUAAGCUCUUGAAACUGGGAGACUUGAGUGCAGGAGAGGAGAGUGGAAUUCCUAGUGUAGCGGUGAAAUGCGUAGAUAUUAGGAGGAACACCAGUUGCGAAGGCGGCUCUCUGGACUGUAACUGACGCUGAGGCACGAAAGCGUGGGGAGCAAACAGGAUUAGAUACCCUGGUAGUCCACGCUGUAAAC